UAACGUCGUAUACAUGCACAAUA
rnacentral:siRNA from 1 species